rnacentral:tRNA from 1 species
AGGGGUGUAGCUCAGUAGUAGAGUGCUUGCUUAGCACUCAUGAGACUCUAGUUCAAUUCCCAGCACCUCUC